rnacentral:rRNA from 1 species
AUUAAGGCUCCUUAAGGUAGUAUAAUAAUUAAAACCUAUAUAUUAUGGCGGUCUAAACAAAUUAGAGGAACUCGCUUCAUAAUCGAUAAUACUCGAUAAUUUUAACUUAUUUUACACAAAACCUAUAUACCGCCGUUACAGACUUUAUUAAAACAUAAAACUCUUAAAAGCGCCUACUAAAAAAUCAGGUCAAGGUGUAGUUAAUGAAUAAGAGAAAGUAAGUUACAUUAAAAAAGACUUAAGGACUAUUAUAAAAAUAUAAUACAAAAAAGAAUCUAAUUGUAAAUAAGAGUUAAAAACCCACUUAGAAAUAAUAGUAUCUGACGC